GGUUCAUUCAAAUUUCUUCCCUAUCAACUUUCGAUGUUUGGGUAUUGGCCAAACAUGGUUGCAACGGGUAACGGAGGGUUAGGGCUCGACCCCGGAGAAGGAGCCUGAGAAACGGUACUACAUCCAAGGAAGGCAGCAGGCGCGCAAAUUACCCAAUCCCGACCGGGGAGGUAGUGACAAUAAAUACUGAUACAGGGCUCUUUUGGGUCUUGUAAUUGGAAUGAGUACAAUUUAAAUCCCUUAACGAGGAACAAUUGGAGGGCAAGUCUGGUGCCAGCAGCCGGGUAAAUUCCAGCUCCAAUAGCGUAUAUUAAAGUUGUUGCAGUUAAAAGCUCGUAGUUG
rnacentral:rRNA from 1 species